ensembl:misc_RNA Metazoa_SRP Metazoan signal recognition particle RNA
GCUGGGCAUAGUGGCUUAUGCCUGUAAUCCCAGAGCUUUGGGAGGCUGAGGUGGGUGGAUCGCCUGAGGUCAGGAGUUUGAGACCAGCCUGGCCAACAAGGUGAAACCCCGUCUCUA